UACGGGGGGGGCAAGCGUUGUUCGGAAUUACUGGGCGUAAAGGGCUCGUAGGCGGCCAACUAAGUCGGAUGUGAAAUCCCCAGGCUCAACCUGGGAACUGCAUCCGAUACUGGAUGGCUUGAAUCCGGGAGAGGGAUGCAGAAUUCCAGGUGUAGCGGUGAAAUGCGUAGAUAUCUGGAGGAAUACCGGUGGCGAAGGCGGCAUCCUGGACCGGCAUUGACGCUGAGGAGCGAGAGCGUGGGGAGCAAACCGG
rnacentral:rRNA from 1 species